CAAAGAUUCAAGUUAUUGAGAAGUUACCACCACCAACCUCGGUCAAGGGUGUUCGCAGUUUCCUUGGUCAUGCUGGAUUUUAUCGGCGCUUCAUCAAAGACUUCUCUAAGAUUACUAAACCAUUAUGCAAUUUACUAGUCAAGGAUGUCCCUUUCAACUUCUCCGAAGAAUGUCUAUUGUCUUUCAACACUUUAAAGGAGAAGUUAAUUUCAGCGCCAAUAAUUGUUACACCAGAUUGGAGUUUGCCCUUUGAACUAAUGUGUGAUACAAGUGACUAUGCAGUGGGAGUAGUAUUGGGACAGCGACGAGAUAAAUUUUUUCACGUGAUCUAUUAUGCAGGCAAGACAUUGAAUGAUGCACAGCUGAACUAUGCCACCACUGAGAAGGAACUUUUAGCUGUAGUCUACGCUUUUGAUAAAUUUCAUUCUUAUCUUGUUGGAUCAAAAGUAAUAGUUUAUACAGAUCAUGCAGCUUUAAAGUAUCUGAUGACAAAGAAAGAUGCAAAGCCAAGACUAAUCAGAUGGGUAUUACUUCUACAAGAAUUUGAUUUAGAGAUAAGAGAUAAGAACGGAAGUGAAAACUUAGUAGCUGAUCACCUAUCCCGACUUGAGCAUGGAGAACAGGAAAAGUCAGUGAACAUAAAUGAGAUCUUUCCAGAUGAACAGAUUUUCAAUAUAGAGGAUGUACCUUGGUAUGCUGAUAUAGUGAAUUAUCUGGCCAAAUCCAUUAUUCUACUAGACUAUUCAAGUCAUCAAAAGAAGAAAUUCUUUCUGACUUGAAGUAUUAUUUUUGGGAGGACCCUAUUCUUUACAGGCGGGGUCCAGAUCAAAUUAUUAGGUGGUGUAUUCCUAAAGAAGAGAUCCCUUAGAUACUCGAGCAAUGUCAUUCAUCUGCCUAUGCUGGACACUUUGGCGCAUCAAAGACUGCCGCUAAAAUUUUACAGUCUGGUUUUUACUGGCCAUCGAUAUUCCGAGAUACAUUUGAAUUUGUGAAGAGGUGUGAUAGAUGUCAGCGCACGGAAAAUAUCUCAGGAAAGAACGAGAUGCCUCUGAAUAUCAUUCUAGAGGUAGAGCUCUUUGAUGUGUGGAGGAUCGACUUUAUGGGGCCAUUUCCCUCAUCAUUCUCGAAUCAGUAUAUACUUGUCGCCGUCGAUUAUAUUUCUAAGUGGGUGGAAGCAGUAGCAUUGCCAACCAACGAUGCGAAGGUUGUAAUUGGGUUCCUAAAGAAGUAUAUUUUCACCCGUUAUGGUACACCUCGAGCUAUCAUAAGUGAUGGGGGCAAACACUUUUGCAAUCGUCGGUUUGAGUCUUUGCUGGCUAGAUAUGACGUCCGACAUCGUAUAGCUACCCCUUAUCACCCUCAGACCAGCGGUCAAGUUGAAAUCUCCAAUUGAGAAUU
rnacentral:lncRNA from 1 species